CAUGUCUCGACAUGUACGGGUUCCUCAGCUUUAUCGCCUGAGGAGGUGAUGGCGAAGUGUGAAAGUUGGAAGCCGGGUGAGCCAUCGGGACAGGUAAAGUUGUCGUCAAGUAUAGGCAAGAACUUGUUGGAGUGACAUCCAAGGGAAUAGCAAAGCUCAACACCUUCGGGGGCAUUGUCGGAGAGACCUUGCCAGGGAGUUGAUGACCAGGCUGAGCGAAGUUGGGCAGAUCCACCGCCGGUGAGGACCUUGGCCUUGGCGUUGGGACCGAUAACGGCGACUUUUUUGUGUUCACGGAUUGGGAGAACAUCCGUCUCAUUUUUGAGAAGUACAAUGCUUUCCCCAGCCAAGCGACGAAGCAACUUGGCGUCUUCUGCUUGAUCCUCCGUUCUAGUUUUCUCUUUACGAGGCAGUGAAUAUACCAACUCCUCGUUUUUCUUCGCGAGCUUCUGUACCCACCUUAAUACAUCACCUGCAACCUUGUCCAACUGCGUGGGAUCGACCUUGUGCGCAUUAAUAAGACGGAAUAGGUACCAUACCAGUCACUCAUUACCAGCCCAUCGAAUCCCCAUUCUUUUCUCAACAGCUCCUCAAGUAACCACCUGUUUUCCGAACAAUGCGUCCCGUUGAGUUUGUUAUAAGCAGUCAUGAAUGCUUGUGGUUUGGACUUCUUGAGUGCAAUUUGGAAUGGUCGAAGAUAAAUUUCCCUCAAAGCCCUAGGCGCGAUGAUAGAGUCCUCGCCCAUCCGCUCGUGCUCUUGAUCAUUCCCCACAAAAUGCUUGAUCGCCGCACUGACACCACCUUCCUGCAGGCCAGCAACAUAAGCGGCCGCAAUCAAACCAGACAAAGUGGGGUCUUCAGAGAAUGAUUCGAAUGCUCGACCACCAAGCGGGGAACGUUGGAUGUUGAUAGUGGGAGCAAGAAGACAGACGGCAUUGCGAGCAAGGGUUUCAAGCGCUAGGAGAUUGCCGGCUGAAUGGAUUAGAUCGGGAGAAAAAGUGGAGGCAAGAGAAGUAGCGCUUGGAAGGGCAGAAGCCGGUGCUUAUUCUGGUCAGCCCUGAACAUUCAACGAUCAAGUCUAGGAUGCCCACUCAUAUGGUAAAAUGAGUCUCCUCGAGCGCCCCCAGGGCCAUCAGUCAUCUUGAUGCUUCUCUAACAUCAGCAUACCCUCACUUCUAAGUAACACAAGCACCUCACGAAGGGACGUUCAGUCUUGGAAUCGGUACAGUACUUUUACACAAUGAGGGAGAUCUUCUCUUCCGUGGUGAGCUGUUUAAGGAGAUCAUCGAUGUUUGCGGUCAAGAACGACCUGUCAAGGUCUAUGUUGUUCGUGGACAUGGCAAAUGUGGUGGGAAGUAGUUGAGAGAGCGAAGAGCGCUGAUAUAGUUAUUCGCAUUUCACCGGUGCGGUCUAGGACUUGUCGCAUGUCUCGCUGUUCCUUCAUGGUCAACCUCUGGCGGUCUGAGGACAAGAUUCCAACACAAGUUACUCGGAAAGACUUCCCGAAGUCAAUCCGACGUUUAUCCUGCCAAACAGCCGAUCUCGGCAUAGAGUUAUAUAUAUCUCGGCAUAAUAAAUAAACCAACAACAAUCAGCAACAAAGAUUAAAUAAUUAAGCGAGUAAAAUGGCACCUGUGGGCUGCACCUGCCCGAUCGGGGUGGGUGGGGCGGGGGAGGGGCGUUAUUCCAGGCGGCUUGUUAUGUCGAGUAUAAUUCCGUAUGAGUAUUGGAAGGUUCCGGGGGGCAUUCCGUGCCGCCUGCACCACUGCAACUCCUGUCCUCCGUGCCGGCGCUGGCAAGCAUGCAUGCAUGCGCGUCGCGCUGUAAUGCAGUGAACUUCAGGUCGUUUUUCAGUUUGUCGCCAGUCGACCGUCGUCGUCGGACAUGACCGCAACGAGCACGUAACGUGCGCAUACGACGAGGAAGUCUUCUGUUCGUUGUUCUUGACGACGGCUGGCUUCGGUAUGAAAUAAUCCGUUCGUUCGUUUUCACAAAUCUUUCGGCUGCCCGAUCACAGCCUCGGUAUAGAAACCACAACUCAAUAGCGGGGCUAUUCGUGGUUACAAAUCCUUCGUUUGGAAGCAAAAGCCAAUCGACUUUAAAUCCGUCCGCGCAAUCUCUCGCCAGGCAGACAAUGGAAUAGUCAAUUGUCUGAAAAUGCAGACUGAGUUUGUCUUCUUUGAUGAUGGUAGCUGCUAUAAUAUAAUUAGCAAUGCCUUCGGCAAAGGUUAUCAAUUGUUAUACAAUGAAUGACUGACCGCCAUCAUACUUGUACUGCAAUCUCCUCCGAGCACGGUCGAGUUGGCACUCAUGAUAGAACAACGAGUUGUUUGAGUAUUGUAGUUAUUAAAUAGGCGGAUACACCAUUCCCAUAUACCAUCAUGUAAUCACCAUGUAGCUGAGGGCUGACUGCAGAGGAUAUCUUACUGCGUCCAGCGUUCCGACGUUAUACCUCUACCCUCACGCUGUUAUACCACCGGCACCCUAAAGCGUAAAAGCUUCUUAUUAUCGAGAGUCAAGGGUGUUGAAUGAGCGAGUAAAUGGGAACAGCAGAGAUCUGCCGAAAGGGAGGAAGGGAGUUUGUG
rnacentral:sRNA from 1 species